CAAAACAGACCCAUUCCGUUUGGGUCAAACAAUCACAGUUGGCGCAUCCAACUCGCCCCUAUGUCCUGUUUUGGCAAUGAACAAGUACUUCUUGGUUAGAAAAACAACGGGUGGUCCACUCUUUGUUCAUGUUUCUGGAAAACCUCUUACCAAACAAACUUUAACGGCUGAGACUCGGAUUUUAUUAAACCAAGCAGGUUUUAAUGUGUCACACUAUGCUGGUCAUAGCUACCGAAACUGCUUUUUGAAAAGCCUUAUUACUACAAACAUAGCAUAAUGCCUGGAUAUAAUGGGUGGGAAAACGAGACCUAUAGGUUUAGCGCAGUGGCGUAGCCAGCUCGAUAAAUGUGGGGGGGGGGGGUAUAUUCAUAUAUUCGUAUUCACAGAACGUAAAGACAAUCAAAUUCAAAAGAAAUUAAUAAUGCAGAACACGAAUAUAUGAAUAUGUCCCCCCUCCCAAUUAUCGAACUGGCUACGCCACUGGCUUUAUAGGGCGAGUUUUUCCACGUUAUUCGAGUUCUCUCAAACUACUACAAGUGUUUCUAUAACUGUAUGGGUCACACAUAAUAAAUGUUUUAUAUUUAUUUCAUAAUAUAACUAAAAAAAGAUUUGUAGUAGACUCGAUAUAUUUACAAAUUCUCAUUACGUAUAAUAAUGCCGACCUUUGCUCCAUGCAUCAAUUUCACUGCAAGAAACCCUUUUUGCCUUUAUUAGCAAGCAAGUAUAAGCCUAAUUUCCCAACUUUUAUGCAAAGAAUCUAACGAAAGGUGUAUCCUUUGCUACAAAUUGACGUAUAUAAAGAAAAGAAAGGGAAAUUCUACCGCGAUAUUUGCCGAUAAAGCGGUAUUAAAUCACUACAGAGAAAAUAGAACAAAUUACAGAAAUACAAAACAAGCUGCGGAAGUGGGGAGGUUUUUGUAUUUUGACUGAAACAGUUACAAAAUGAGCUGAGUAGGUAAAAUUCUUUUUAAAGUUUCUUAAUUUGCAUUAAAAUUGUUUUGUUUACGAUUGUAAGUUUAGGCGGGAAAUUUCCCGUGUAGAAACACGCUUCUCGACCAAUCAACGCUCGCGUACUAUAAAUGUUCU